AAAAGAUUUAAAAGUCAUUCUCCCCACUGGAGGUCUCAUUUACACUGGGCAGAAACAACAACAAAAUAAAAACCUGCUGAAUAGAUUGUGCGAUGAAGGGAAAUGCUGCGGAGGCAAACCCAGUGGGGCCGACGAGGAACAGGAGAGGCAGCAACACAAAGCCGCCCAAGGAAGAAACUGAGGUCCGAGCACUGGGAUGCGGGGUGCUGUGUGAUGCUGAAGGAUGCGUGCGAAGGGGCCUCCCCUGCUGCCCGUCUCCCCAAGAUGCCCCCAGCACCUGCGGAUCGCUCCUUUCAGCGGGAUCAGCUCCUCGCAGCUCUGCCCCCGCCACAGAACUCCUGGGCAUGGCUGUGUGACUGAAACUGAUCAGAGACAACUGUCCCUCUUACAAGGGGAGAGCCGGCCAAGGCUGCUUGUAGGGCAGGGCCUGUGACCCCAGAAGCAGCUCUGAAUAUUUUACCCGAAAGUUGAAUAUUCUUAUUCCUCGUUCUUCAGAACUCUUUCUGCAAGUUAUCUCCCCAGGGAAGCCUCCUCUAAUCCCCCAGAUUUAUUCUUUCACUCAACAAACUUCUACUGAAUGAAUAAUAUUUACUGAGUGGACCCCAAGGGUUCGGUGCCCUUCGUGUAAUCUUGCAUAGUGAAGCCCUUCUCCUAUUUAACAAUGAUGAUGAUAAUUAAUUAACUACUUACAUAAUUAUUUCUCAGGGUCUGUUCCUACCCCUAACCCACCACUUUUCCAGAAUAUUGAGCUACACGAGAACAGGAGCCACAUCUGUCCUGUGAACGGCUACACGCCACCGUCGGGGCCUGCAGGGCCAGCACAGAUCGAGCGAAUGAGGGAACCAACGAAUGAGCAGACUGUCAAGGCCAGCACCAUUCCGUAGAAAUGCUGGGCACAAAGCGAAGAAGGCAAGUGGAAUCUCCAUGUGAUUUCCUGUCUGGAGCUUACAGUUUGUUCAGGAAAGCGGAGCUCUCAGCGAGUUCCAGCCGUGGGGAGAUGCCUUCCCCCGCUGACUGCCGUCAUCACAG
rnacentral:lncRNA from 1 species